rnacentral:miRNA from 1 species
CAGGCAUCUUCUCAGCCUACAUGUG